UUUGAAAAGAGAGUUAAAAAGUGCGUGAAACCGUUGGAAGGGAAGCGAAUAGAGCUUGCAAUUCCGUGCUCGCUUUCGAUCUUUCUAGACGAGGCGUGCGCGUAUGCGAUGCGCGAUCGGUGCACUUCCGCUAGGCGAAAGUCAACGUCGGUUUUGGAAAAGUCAAAAAGCAGCGAGCACGGKAGAUCUCUAGGCUUGCGUGCAAUUUGUUGAGACCGGUCGCAGCACGUACCUGUUGGUUGAUGUCUUCGUCGAUGAGUUGGUUUUACGUCUCUSGGCGGACGGCUUUGCCUGUGCGUCGGCGUGCGUCCGCUCAAACGACGGUGAAAAUACACACAACGUGCUAAGGACGUUGACUAUGCGGCGGCUCUAUCCRMCCCGUCUUGAAACACGGACCAAGGAGUCYAACAUGYGCGCAAGUCUCMGAGUGAUCGAAACUCGCUGGGCGUAAWGAAAGUGAAUGCAGUCUCGGCUGCAGAGAUGAGAGGCGUGGCGGCAUCAUCGACCGACCUAUUCUACUCUUAGAAAGGUUUGAGUGAGAGCGCACCUGUCGGGACCCGAAAGAUGGUGAACUAUGCCUGAAUAGGGCGAAGCCAGCGU
rnacentral:rRNA from 1 species